rnacentral:rRNA from 3 species
CUGCUUUGCUGACGAGUGGCGGACGGGUGAGUAAUGUCUGGGAAACUGCCUGAUGGAGGGGGAUAACUACUGGAAACGGUGGCUAAUACCGCAUAACGUCGCAAGACCAAAGAGGGGGACCUUCGGGCCUCUUGCCAUCAGAUGUGCCCAGAUGGGAUUAGCUUGUUGGUGAGGUAACGGCUCACCAAGGCGACGAUCCCUAGCUGGUCUGAGAGGAUGACCAGCCACACUGGAACUGAGACACGGUCCAGACUCCUACGGGAGGCAGCAGUGGGGAAUAUUGCACAAUGGGCGCAAGCCUGAUGCAGCCAUGCCGCGUGUAUGAAGAAGGCCUUCGGGUUGUAAAGUACUUUCAGCGGGGAGGAAGGUGUUGUGGUUAAUAACCGCAGCAAUUGACGUUACCCGCAGAAGAAGCACCGGCUAACUCCGUGCCAGCAGCCGCGGUAAUACGGAGGGUGCAAGCGUUAAUCGGAAUUACUGGGCGUAAAGCGCACGCAGGCGGUCUGUCAAGUCGGAUGUGAAAUCCCCGGGCUCAACCUGGGAACUGCAUUCGAAACUGGCAGGCUUGAGUCUUGUAGAGGGGGGUAGAAUUCCAGGUGUAGCGGUGAAAUGCGUAGAGAUCUGGAGGAAUACCGGUGGCGAAGGCGGCCCCCUGGACAAAGACUGACGCUCAGGUGCGAAAGCGUGGGGAGCAAACAGGAUUAGAUACCCUGGUAGUCCACGCCGUAAACGAUGUCUACUUGGAGGUUGUGCCCUUGAGGCGUGGCUUCCGGAGCUAACGCGUUAAGUAGACCGCCUGGGGAGUACGGCCGCAAGGUUAAAACUCAAAUGAAUUGACGGGGGCCCGCACAAGCGGUGGAGCAUGUGGUUUAAUUCGAUGCAACGCGAAGAACCUUACCUGGUCUUGACAUCCACAGAAGAAUCCAGAGAUGGAUUUGUGCCUUCGGGAACUGUGAGACAGGUGCUGCAUGGCUGUCGUCAGCUCGUGUUGUGAAAUGUUGGGUUAAGUCCCGCAACGAGCGCAACCCUUAUCCUUUGUUGCCAGCGGUUAGGCCGGGAACUCAAAGGAGACUGCCAGUGAUAAACUGGAGGAAGGUGGGGAUGACGUCAAGUCAUCAUGGCCCUUACGACCAGGGCUACACACGUGCUACAAUGGCGCAUACAAAGAGAAGCGACCUCGCGAGAGCAAGCGGACCUCAUAAAGUGCGUCGUAGUCCGGAUUGGAGUCUGCAACUCGACUCCAUGAAGUCGGAAUCGCUAGUAAUCGUGGAUCAGAAUGCCACGGUGAAUACGUUCCCGGGCCUUGUACACACCGCCCGUCACACCAUGGGAGUGGGUUGCAAAAGAAGUAGGUAGCUUAACCUUCGGGAGGGCGCUUACCACUUUGUGAUUCAUGACUGGGGUGAAGUCGUAACAAGGUAACCGUAGGGGAACCUGCGGUUGGAUCACCUCCUUACCUUAAAGAA